GAUACUGCGCCGGAAUGAACGGAUUAUAUUGAUGUUAUAAACUAUAAGAUUUUUUCUUCUGUAUCU
rnacentral:tRNA from 1 species